rnacentral:rRNA from 1 species
CUACGGGAGGCAGCAGUGAGGAAUAUUGGUCAAUGGACGAAAGUCUGAACCAGCCAUGCCGCGUGGACGAUGAAGGCCUUAGGGUUGUAAAGUCCUUUCAGCUGGGAAGAUAAUGACGGUACCAGCAGAAGAAGCCCCGGCUAACUCCGUGCCAGCAGCCGCGGUAAUACGGAGGGGGCUAGCGUUGUUCGGAAUUACUGGGCGUAAAGCGCGCGUAGGCGGACUUUUAAGUCGGGGGUGAAAUCCCGGGGCUCAACCCCGGAACUGCCUUCGAUACUGGAAGUCUGGAGUUCGAGAGAGGUGAGUGGAAUUCCGAGUGUAGAGGUGAAAUUCGUAGAUAUUCGGAGGAACACCAGUGGCGAAGGCGGCUCACUGGCUCGAUACUGACGCUGAGGUGCGAAAGCGUGGGGAGCAAACAGGAUUAGAUACCCGGGUAGUCC